AACGCACAUUGCGCCCGCUAGUAUUCUGGCGGGCAUGCCUGUUCGAGCGUCAUUUCAACCAUCAAGCCCCAGGCUUGUGUUGGGGGCCUGCGGUACCGCAGCCCCCUAAAAGCAGUGGCGGGCUCGCUGAUAUACCGAGCGCAGUAGCAUAUCUUCGCUCUGGGCGUGUCAGCCUGCUCCGGCCGUGAAACAUCCACUAAGGUUGACCUCGGAUCAGGUAGGAAUACCCGCUGAACUUAA
rnacentral:misc_RNA from 1 species